rnacentral:rRNA from 1 species
GACAGAGGGUGCAAACGUUGCUCGGAAUCACUGGGCGUAAAGGGCGUGUAGGCGGGAAUGGAAGUCGGGCGUGAAAUCCCUAGGCUCAACCUAGGAACUGCACUCGAAACUGCGUUUCUUGAGUGCCGGAGAGGAAAGCGGAAUUCCUGGUGUAGAGGUGAAAUUCGUAGAUAUCAGGAGGAACACCAGUGGCGAAGGCGGCUUUCUGGACGGUAACUGACGCUGAGACGCGAAAGCGUGGGGAGCAAACAGG